rnacentral:rRNA from 1 species
ACGGUCAGCAAUGGCAGUGGCGGACGGGUGAGUAACGCGUAGGAAUCUAUCCUUGAAUGGGGGACAACUGUGGGAAACUACAGCUAAUACCGCAUGAUGCCUGAGGGCCAAAGACGUAAGUCGUUUGAGGAGGAGCCUGCGUCUGAUUAGCUUGUUGGUGGGGUAAAGGCUUACCAAGGCGACGAUCAGUAGCUGGUCUGAGAGGAUGAUCAGCCACAUUGGGACUGAGACACGGCCCAAACUCCUACGGGAGGCAGCAGUGGGGAAUAUUGGACAAUGGGCGAAAGCCUGAUCCAGCAAUGCCGCGUGUGUGAAGAAGGUCUUCGGA